GGUACAUAGUGGCGGAGGAAGGGCUGGUCCCUUCGGGGGGAACCUUGCUGAAUUAUUCACCCUUGUCGGUAGCGUACUUCUUGUUUCCUUGGUGGGUUCGCCCACCACUAGGACAAACAUAAACCUUUUGUAAUUGCAAUCAGCGUCAGUAACAAAUUAAUAAUUACAACUUUCAACAACGGAUCUCUUGGUUCUGGCAUCGAUGAAGAACGCAGCGAAAUGCGAUAAGUAGUGUGAAUUGCAGAAUUCAGUGAAUCAUCGAAUCUUUGAACGCACAUUGCGCCCUUUGGUAUUCCAAAGGGCAUGCCUGUUCGAGCGUCAUUUGUACCCUCAAGCUUUGCUUGGUGUUGGGCGUCUUGUCUCUAGCUUUGCUGGAGACUCGCCUUAAAGUAAUUGGCAGCCGGCCUACUGGUUUCGGAGCGCAGCACAAGUCGCACUCUCUAUCAGCAAAGGUCUAGCAUCCAUUAAGCCUUUUUUUCAACUUUUGACCUCGGAUCAGGUAGGGAUACCCGCUGAACUUAAGCAUAUCAU
rnacentral:rRNA from 1 species